rnacentral:rRNA from 1 species
UCCGUAGGUGAACCUGCGGAGGGAUCAUUACCGAGUUUACAACUCCCAAACCCCUGUGAACAUACCUUUAAUGUUGCCUCGGCGGAUCAGCCCGCGCCCCGUAAAACGGGACGGCCCGCCAGAGGACCCAAACUCUAAUGUUUCUUAUUGUAACUUCUGAGUAAAACAAACAAAUAAAUCAAAACUUUCAACAACGGAUCUCUUGGUUCUGGCAUCGAUGAAGAACGCAGCAAAAUGCGAUAAGUAAUGUGAAUUGCAGAAUUCAGUGAAUCAUCGAAUCUUUGAACGCACAUUGCGCCCGCUGGUAUUCCGGCGGGCAUGCCUGUUCGAGCGUCAUUUCAACCCUCAAGCCCCCGGGUUUGGUGUUGGGGAUCGGCUCUGCCUUACGGCGGUGCCGCCCCCGAAAUACAUUGGCGGUCUCGCUGCAGCCUCCAUUGCGUAGUAGCUAACACCUCGCAACUGGAACGCGGCGCGGCCAUGCCGUAAAACCCCAACUUCUGAAUGUUGACCUCGGAUCAGGUAGGAAUACCCGCUGAACUUAAGCAUAUCAAUAAGCGGAGGA